CAGCCGCCACGGGAAUACGUAGGGGGCAAGCGUUAUCCGGAAUUACUGGGUGUAAAGGGAGCGUAGACGGUUAAACAAGUCUGAAGUGAAAUGCCGGGGCUCAACCCCGGAGCUGCUUUGGGAACUGUAGAACUGGAGUGUCGGAGGGGUAAGCGGAAUUCCCGGUGUAGCGGUGAGAUGCGUAGAUAUUGGGAGGAAUACCGGCGGCGAAAGCACUCUGCUGGGCCGACACUGACACUGAGAGACGAAAGCUAGGGGAGCAAAUGGGAUUAGAUACCCCGGUAGUCCCUGUCUCUUAUAA
rnacentral:rRNA from 1 species